rnacentral:rRNA from 1 species
AGGGCGUGCUAAUCUGCGAUAAGCGCCGGUAAGGUGAUAUGAACCGUUAUAACCGGCGAUACCCGAAUGGGGAAACCCAGUGUGAUUCGUCACACUAUCAUUAACUGAAUCCAUAGGUUAAUGAGGCGAACCGGGGGAACUGAAACAUCUAAGUACCCCGAGGAAAAGAAAUCAACCGAGAUUCCCCCAGUAGCGGCGAGCGAACGGGGAGGAGCCCAGAGCCUGAAUCAGCAUGUGUGUUAGUGGAAGCGUCUGGAAAGGUGCGCGAUACAGGGUGACAGCCCCGUACACAAAAGCGCAUGUGCUGUGAGCUCGAUGAGUAGGGCGGGACACGUGGUAUCCUGUCUGAAUAUGGGGGGACCAUCCUCCAAGGCUAAAUACUCCUGACUGACCGAUAGUGAACCAGUACCGUGAGGGAAAGGCGAAAAGAACCCCGGCGAGGGGAGUGAAAAAGAACCUGAAACCGUGUACGUACAAGCAGUGGGAGCACAGGUUUACCUGUGUGACUGCGUACCUUUUGUAUAAUGGGUCAGCGACUUAUAUUCUGUAGCAAGGUUAACCGUAUAGGGGAGCCGGAGGGAAACCGAGUCUUAAUUGGGCGUUAAGUUGCAGGGUAUAGACCCGAAACCCGGUGAUCUAGCCAUGGGCAGGUUGAAGGUUGGGUAACACUAACUGGAGGACCGAACCGACUAAUGUUGAAAAAUUAGCGGAUGACCUGUGGCUGGGGGUGAAAGGCCAAUCAAACCGGGAGAUAGCUGGUUCUCCCCGAAAGCUAUUUAGGUAGCGCCUCGUGAAUUCAUCUCCGGGGGUAGAGCACUGUUUCGGCUAGGGGGCCAUCCCGGCUUACCAACCCGAUGCAAACUGCGAAUACCGGAGAAUGUUAUCACGGGAGACACACGGCGGGUGCUAACGUCCGUCGUGAAGAGGGAAACAACCCAGACCGCCAGCUAAGGUCCCAAAGUCAUGGUUAAGUGGGAAACGAUGUGGGAAGGCCCAGACAGCCAGGAUGUUGGCUUAGAAGCAGCCAUCAUUUAAAGAAAGCGUAAUAGCUCACUGGUCGAGUCGGCCUGCGCGGAAGAUGUAACGGGGCUAAACCAUGCACCGAAGCUGCGGCAGCGAACGUAUCACCCAAGACAACUUUACGGAGUUGACGAUUGACGGAGCGAAGCGACGUCAAAGCGUUCAUUAAAGUCGAGUUGGCUUAGGGAUACGUUCGUUGGGUAGGGGAGCGUUCUGUAAGCCUGUGAAGGUGUGUCGUGAGGCAUGCUGGAGGUAUCAGAAGUGCGAAUGCUGACAUAAGUAACGAUAAAGCGGGUGAAAAGCCCGCUCGCCGGAAGACCAAGGGUUCCUGUCCAACGUUAAUCGGGGCAGGGUGAGUCGACCCCUAAGGCGAGGCCGAAAGGCGUAGUCGAUGGGAAACGGGUUAAUAUUCCCGUACUUGGUGUUACUGCGAAGGGGGGACGGAGAAGGCUAUGUUGGCCGGGCGACGGUUGUCCCGGUUUAAGCGUGUAGGUGUGUGUUCCAGGUAAAUCCGGUUCACUUUAACACUGAGGCGUGACGACGAGGCA